rnacentral:rRNA from 1 species
CAACUUGAGAGUUUGAUCCUGGCUCAGAACGAACGCUGGCGGCAGGCCUAAUACAUGCAAGUCGAGCGCAUCCUUCGGGAUGAGCGGCGGACGGGUGAGUAACGC